CAGAUGCCAGUGAGGCCAGCAGGGCAGGAAAUCAGGACGGCUGUAGCCAAACACUGAUAAGGGAAACUCAUCACAAAGCCUUUCCUGUUUUCACCGCACUGCAAACCUUUCUCACCGCCAUGGUGCAUAUCGCCUCGCAUCAUAUCGCUCAAACUCAUCUCACCUAUGACUGGUGCCUCAGUGUCCCCUUGCAGUGCUAUGCAUCAACUUGCUGUCCAGACAAGAUCUCUCCACCCAGGACACACACGGACGCCCCAACACCACAGCCUGGAACCAGGAAACCCAAGAGGAUGCUGUCAUCAGCCCCAUUAUGGCCCCUGAUGGGCCCUGACUAUCUGGAGUUGAACUGUGACCUUCAAAGAGGGGACACAGAGAUGGAGGGGCAUCCCAACCCACUCUAUUUAUAGAGCCCACCAGCUGCUAGCAUGGGAUCACACACACAUGCAGAGGAUGGGCUGAACCAUGGAAAGGGUGUAUCACAGGCAGACGCCAUGGAAAAAAAUAUAUGCGUCGACGUCAAGUCUCUUCAACUUGAAAUAAGGGCAGGGCAGGUUGAGGAAAGGAUCAAACGGACAAAAGUGGAAACAAUGUAGACACGCUGUGUGCAAGCUCCAUCGGGUGAUCCUACAAUUUCGUUAAAAGUAGACAAAAUAUAUAUGUGAUCCAUUUCACAUUUCAACGGCAUCAGAGUUUAUAUAAUCAGGUUAAAGCCUAAGUGGAACAGAUUUGAAGAAACAUGCCUUCUACUACCAGAGCCAAAGGCCGAGGCUUUAUUCCUUUGUCUGAUAGGGCCGAAGCCGGGCGUUCACAAGAAGAUGACAGAUUCACACCUGAUCUGCUCACCAAAGCUCUGGACUCCCAAAAAAUUGACAUCUGUGGAAUCUAAUAAUAAAACAUUGUUUGUUUAGGCUGACUGUGAUUUUUUUUUUUUUGGCAGUAUACUGAGGGAUCUGUAAAAUGCCAAUCAAAGGUAAAAUAAUUACUUUUCUGUCAAUCACUUUGUCUGUCUUGAUGUGAGCAUUAUAAACUAAAUCUUGAUUAACUCUGAUAUU